AGUGAACGCUGGCGGUAGGCCUAACACAUGCAAGUCGAACGGCAGCACAGUAAGAGCUUGCUCUUACGGGUGGCGAGUGGCGGACGGGUGAGGAAUACAUCGGAAUCUACUUUUUCGUGGGGGAUAACGUAGGGAAACUUACGCUAAUACCGCAUACGACCUACGGGUGAAAGCAGGGGAUCUUCGGACCUUGCGCGAUUGAAUGAGCCGAUGUCGGAUUAGCUAGUUGGCGGGGUAAAGGCCCACCAAGGCGACGAUCCGUAGCUGGUCUGAGAGGAUGAUCAGCCACACUGGAACUGAGACACGGUCCAGACUCCUACGGGAGGCAGCAGUGGGGAAUAUUGGACAAUGGGCGCAAGCCUGAUCCAACCAUACCGCGUGGGUGAAGAAGGCCUCCGGGUUGUCAAGCCCUUUUGUUGGGAAAGAAAAGCAGCAGGUUAAUACCCCGCUGUUCUGACGGUACCCAAAGAAUAAGCACCGGCUAACUUCGUG
rnacentral:rRNA from 1 species